UACGGGGGGGGGCAAGCGUUGUUCGGAAUUACUGGGCGUAAAGGCUUGUAGGUGGCCAACUAAGUCCGACGUGAAAUCCCUAGGCUUAACCUAGGAACUGCGUCGGAUACUGGAUGGCUUGAAUCCGGGAGAGGAUGCGGAAUUCCAGGUGUAGCGGUGAAAUGCGUAGAUAUCUGGAGGAACACCGGUGGCGAAGGCGGCAUCCUGGACCGGUAUUGACACUGAAAAGCGAAAGCCAGGGG
rnacentral:rRNA from 1 species